rnacentral:rRNA from 1 species
AGAACCUUACCAGGUCUUGACAUCCUCUGACAACCCUAGAGAUAGGGCUUUCCCUUCGGGGACAGAGUGACAGGUGGUGCAUGGUUGUCGUCAGCUCGUGUCGUGAGAUGUUGGGUUAAGUCCCGCAACGAGCGCAACCCUUGAUCUUAGUUGCCAGCAUUUAGUUGGGCACUCUAAGGUGACUGCCGGUGACAAACCGGAGGAAGGUGGGGAUGACGUCAAAUCAUCAUGCCCCUUAUGACCUGGGCUACACACGUGCUACAAUGGACAGAACAAAGGGCUGCGAGACCGCAAGGUUUAGCCAAUCCCAUAAAUCUGUUCUCAGUUCGGAUCGCAGUCUGCAACUCGACUGCGUGAAGCUGGAAUCGCUAGUAAUCGCGGAUCAGCAUGCCGCGGUGAAUACGUUCCCGGGCCUUGUACACACCGCCCGUCACACCACGAGAGUUUGUAACACCCGAAGUCGGUGAGGUAACCUU